CUUUCCCAGCGGCCGGGGGCAGGAUCACUUAUAUUUGCAGCUCUGUCACUGUCGGCGCCCACAAAAUCUCACUUGUCACUAUGGGUCACAGCAGAGAUAUGGGCAUUUUCUACCGUCUGUGGUUAGCUCCCCUAGCUAUGCUACUUUUGUCCCAGGGUCUUCCAGCCUUGUGGUUGCCAGAUGGGUGCUCUCUACUAGUGCUGUGCAGAGGCUAUCGCUGAGGCUUCUGUGAGACUAUAGAGUUUCCCCCCUGGGCCACAGAGCCAGGUUGCUGGAACUCCACCCAGCCCCAGUCCUCUCCCCUAGGAUCUCGGGGAGCCCAUUACCCUGACUGGGGGAUAGCCAGAUACCUUGAGUUCAGUGGCAGCUGAUCAGCUGCUGCCCUGCCUGGGAUUCUCCUCUUUGGGACCCUCCCGGCAUUGUGGAUGCUGGGCGGGGCCUCUCUGCUAAUGGCAGGCAAAGACCCUGCCUACUGCCCAGACGGGACUUCAGAGUUUCUCCCCCAGGCUGCGUAGCUGGCCGCUGGAGCUCCACCAAGCCCCGGUCCUCUCCCGGGAGAUCUCCAGUAGUCCUGAGCCUCUCCCAGGCGAAAGCCCGGUCAGUGGAGCCGGUCGCGGCAGCUGGCGGGCUGGCCCGCCGUUUGGGAGAGCCUCCAGGUGUUGUGGAGGCUGGGCGGGGCCUCUCCAAUAAUGGCAGGCAAAGACCCUGUCUGCUGCCGGGGAUGGGACUUCAGAGUUUCUCCCCCAGGUCGCGUUGCCAGCUGCUGAAGCUCCACCCAGCCCCGGGACCUCUCCCAGAUCUUCAGUAGUCCUGAUCCCCUCCCGGGCGAGAGCCCGGUCAGGGGAGCCAGCGGCGGCAGCUGGUGGGCCGGCGCGCCGCUUGAGAUUCUCUCCGGGGGCCCCCAGGUGUUGUGGGUGCUGGGCGGGGCCUCUCCGAUAAUGGCAGGGAAAGACUCUGCCUGCGGCCAGGACUGAACUCUAGAGUUUCUCCCCCGGGCCGUGUAGCCAAUCGCUGGAGCUCCACUCAGCCCCAGACCUCUCCCAGGAGAUCUCCGGUAGUCUCGAUCCCCUCCUGGACGAAAACCAGGUCAGGGGAGCCGGCGGCGGCAGCUGGUGGGCCAGCGCGCCGCUUGGGAUUCUCUCCGGGGGGCCCCCAGGCUUUGUGGAUGCUGGACGGGACCUCUCUGCUAAUGGCAGGCUAAAACACUGAUGAAUCAUUGAACUAAUGAGGCCAGUGUUCUAUAGGAUGGAAGACAAAGAAGAUGGAAGGAACCUGGUUCUCUGGUUCCACAUGGAGAGGAGCCACACUGCCAAUCCAGACACCCACCUCAGUGCUGUCACCAGAGACAGAAACAAACUUUUAAACUUUAAAUAUUUAAACUUUAAAUAGAGUAAACAUAGUCCUGAUUUUCUUAGAACGGUCCUGUCUUAUGCCUGUUGUCUUGGCAUAAUUAUAAAUGGCAUUCUCUUUCACUAUCAAAAUAAAUUGCAUGAUAAACCUCUUUUAAUUCGAUGUACCAUGCCACCUCUUCAUAUUAGCAGCUUAGAUUCUCUACAACCAAUAUAGAAAUUGGUGCCUAACAUAUGUGUGAUUAGCAGUCCUGUGGUGGGAGGUGAGGGCAGGUCUAGAUCAGCUUAGAAGACUAGAGACCCUUGUUAUACACUGGUAAGAGUUGAUAAAAUUGUCCCCUGUGGUAACUUGAAAGGCAGACCACGUGUACCUACCAAACCUGCAGCCGUAGUGCCAGAAUGUUAAUCGGUGUUGGUAGUCCUUGCUGCAUUUAGCAAGGUAUUACAAGGAAGAAGUAACCACAGGCAAGAAUUGGCAAGUUGAAAAGCAGAGAUAGAACAGAUGAGGUUGGAAAUACCUUCUGCUUCUAUAUACCAAACAACAGUGGAUUCAUAACUGUCAUUUUUCAGAGCCUUUCUCAAAGACCUACCAUUAAGCAAAAAGAUCAAUUAAGAGUUUUACCUUGACACAUAAACUCAUGUUUCAGAUGUCCUCAAAAUAGGUGGCUUUAAAAUAAGGAAGAGAGGGAUGGAGUCUGGAAGCCAGCAAAGAAGGUGGGCCUAAGAGCUAUGUGCAGAAAAGGGUUUGGCGUAUGGUGACUGGAACCAGGGACUAACUGGAAGGAAUAAAACUGCUAAGAAGUCUACUAAAUUUUUGAAGUCACAAACGUGGCUUACAAAUGCCUGUGACUACUUGAGCCCCAUGAGGCAUAUACUCCACAUCCACUUCAGAUAUUAGCAUGGACCCAGUGAACAAAGAAGACCCUCCCAGAUGGCACAGCCAGGGGCCCAGGAAGGUGAUGAUCAAGAGAGUAGCUCUGAGAGAAGCAGAACCACUGGUGGGAGGAUGGACCAGCCAAGCACGCGUUCGAUUGUCAAGACAGAGACUCAACACGAUUCCCGCACAGUUAAGGACAGCGAAUUUGCAUUUUGUUCUUCCCUUUUCCCAACUGAAGCCUUAUUGCAGGUAUGCUCUGGCUGCUCCACCAUUGUGUGGGUGUAUGAGUAGAAAGGGGUGCAGCACAGAUAGUUUAUAGGUCACUGGACAAUGAGCAGCUACCUCUGGACUAGAUUAAAAAGAUUGCCCAUUACAUCAAGAACUAGACUUUGAGCUGGGUCCAGUACAGAUGGGACUUUGAGGGGUCCCCCUGGAGAACGGGUGCCUAUGUCCUAUGAAUGGGGAAAGGAGGACACACAAAUAUUUGAGUGACGGUUGGAGGGGUUUGAAGGGGACAUAGCAAGUUAUACAUGAAGAAUUUAUUCUACAUUUUUCCUUAAAAAUUAUGCCCUAUCUUGGGUCAUGACUGUCCUUCUGUAGAUGACAUUUCUGAGCCUCCCUUGCAGAUAGUGGUGGCCUUGUGACUCAGUUCCCACUGGAAUCUGAGUGGGAGUGAUGUCUGUCACUCUGGAUCGGAGGCUUAAAAUAUCGAGCACGUGCUUCUCUCCUCUCUCCCGUGACCCACACUGGUACACAGUGACCCAGCUCCGGUCACGUGCAAGAGGAUGCCCUAGACAAGAGGGAAGAAACCUUGUUCCUUGCUAGUCUGCAUUGUUCACCUAAGCAUUGUCAUAUGAGACAGAAAUAAACUUAAAGGCUUUUGCAA